GGCUACACAUGCAGUCGAGCGGAUGACGGGAGCUUGCUCCUUGAUUCAGCGGCGGACGGGUGAGUAAUGCCUAGGAAUCUGCCUGGUAGUGGGGGACAACGUUUCGAAAGGAACGCUAAUACCGCAUACGUCCUACGGGAGAAAGCAGGGGACCUUCGGGCCUUGCGCUAUCAGAUGAGCCUAGGUCGGAUUAGCUAGUUGGUGGGGUAAUGGCUCACCAAGGCGACGAUCCGUAACUGGUCUGAGAGGAUGAUCAGUCACACUGGAACUGAGACACGGUCCAGACUCCUACGGGAGGCAGCAGUGGGGAAUAUUGGACAAUGGGCGAAAGCCUGAUCCAGCCAUGCCGCGUGUGUGAAGAAGGUCUUCGGAUUGUAAAGCACUUUAAGUUGGGAGGAAGGGCAGUAAGCUAAUACCUUGCUGUUUUGACGUUACCGACAGAAUAAGCACCGGCUAACUCUGUGCCAGCAGCCGCGGUAAUACAGAGGGUGCAAGCGUUAAUCGGAAUU
rnacentral:rRNA from 1 species